AUAUUUUAUAUUAUUAUAGUUUAUUAUUUAUUAAUUUUUUAAAUAAAAUAAUUUUUUGUUUUAGUAAUUUUUAUUGAAUAAAUUUUUUUAAUUAUAGUUUAUUGUACUGUGAAGGUUCUAUUUAAAAUAGUAAAAAGUAUUAUUUAUUUUAUUUACCUUUUGUAUCAGGGUUUAUUAAUAACAAUAUAAUUAUUUAUUUUUCUCGAAGUUAAAUGAUCUAUAUUUAUAUGAUUGUUUUUGUUUCAAAAGUAUUUUUAAUAUAUUUAUAGAGGUGAUAUGCUAUUCAAAUUUAAUAUAUCUAGUUUUUUAAUAUUUGAAUUUAAUUCAGGUUUAAAUUUUUGUAUUUUUUUACUUUAAAAAUUAAUAUAAUUUAUUCUACGACUAUUGGGGAUAAGCUCAAUUGGUUUUAUUAAAAUAGUUUUAUAUUACUUAUUUUUUGUAGGUUUAAUAACGGCCAUCUUUUAUUUCGUUAUAGUUAAUUUUGUUUAUUUUUGAUUUAAUAUUUAUUUAAUUUAAUAUUAAGAAGAAUUAAUUAAUUAUUAUUUAUUUAUUAUAAUGAUAGAAUUAGUAUUUUUGUAAAUUGAAAUUUAGGAACUCGGCAAUUUUUAUUUUCGCCUGUUUAACAAAAACAUGUCCUUUUGUUAUUUAUUUAAGGUCUAACCUGCCCAAUGAUUAUUUUUAAUGGCCGCGGUAUUUUAACCGUGCAAAGGUAGCAUAAUCAAUUGUCUUUUAAUUAAAGGCUAGAAUGAAUGGUUGGACGAAAAAUUAACUUUCUUGAUUUUAUGUAGAAAAAUUAAUUUUUUAGUUAAAAAGCUAAAAUUUGUUUAUAGGACGAGAAGACCCUAUAGAACUUUAUUCUUUAAUUAUAUAAUUGUUUUGGUUUAUAAAAUUUUAUAUAAUAAUUAGAUUUUUAUUGGGGUGAUAUGAAAAUAUUUUUAACUUUUCUUUAUUUUUUUUCAAUAAUUUUUGUUUGUUUGAUCCAAUAUUUUUUGAUUAGUAGUUUAAGUUACCUUAGGGAUAACAGCGUUAUUUUAUUAGAGAGUUCAUAUCGAUAAUAGAGUUUGCGACCUCGAUGUUGAAUUAAGAUUAGUGAUAGGUGCAGAUUUUUAUUUACUAGGUCUGUUCGACCUUUAAAUUCUUACAUGAUUUGAGUUAAGACCGGCGUGAGCCAGGUUGGUUUCUAUCCUUAAUUUUUAUAAAUAUUUUAGUACGAAAGGACCAAAUAUUUUCAAUAAUUUGUUUAUUUUUGAGUAUUAUU
rnacentral:rRNA from 1 species